AGGAAUGGAGGCCGAGCCGAGAUGGGGAAACACGGUCUGUCUGAGCAGUUCCCUUGGGCCAGAGGUGGCUGAUUGAUAGUUUGGGGAGGGAAGCAGUGCCACAGGACAGGCACCUUGCCAGUCUCCACUGUCCGUGAGCUGUGGUCCACCUGAUUUGUCCCAGCUAGAAACACUCACCAGCACAGCCUGGAUCUCCUCUCCCUUGUCUCAUCUCCGACCUUGGGCAUCACUUGACGCAACUACAAGCCAGCAAAGGUGAGAGGCUAGAGACAGAACAAUGCAGGGAGCUUUCAUGCAGAUUUGCCACAUUUGUGUCCUUAGGGUUCUGUGCUCACAGUGGACCUUAGUCACCAGGACAUCUUCCAGAGACGUGAUAUCAGCACUCAUGGCUUAGCGUUUAGCAGUGACACAUCCGACCUGUGUGACCUGGUACUGCUGCACUGGAGGGCACAGUUAAGGCAAGGUGAUCUGAUUCUAAGAGUGGAACAUGGACAAAACUGAAGCCGUUUCCUGUAUUCAUUCCAAAGUACAAAUUCCCUGUUGAGACAAUGUGCUCUGGAGGGUGAUUCAGCACACUGACUCACAGGCUCCCCCCAGAGAUCUAUGCACGAUACCAGACCUCACCAGUCACAGAAGGACAGUGAUAUUCCAGUAUCCAGGAUUCUAACUUCACGGACAAAGCAGCCAAAACCAGAAUGAGCUUGACAGCAACACCCUCACUCUGGGCUCACCUGGGCGGCCAGGUGGGGGUUGCUGCUUGUGCUGGGAAGCGCAGUGUCGGAUGUGGCUGCUCCUUAGGAUGUUUGUGCGAGCGCCCCAGUGUCUACCCUUGACCAGCAGCAGCACGUGAGCACAAAGGCACCGGAAACCACAGCUUGCUCUGCAAGGCAGGCCACCUCACUCUGCCCCCGAGGAGGGUGACAACCCAUGGCUGGGUUCCGUCGCUGUGACGCUUGCUGUUACACAGAGAGGCAAGGGUGCUGUGUUGGCUACAUCACACCCAGCAGGCCACCGUGAUCUUCCUCAGCUGGCUCAGCACAAUUCAGAGGCUCUUCUCAACCAACACCAUCUGAUUUUUAAAAAUUCGAAUGUAAAAAAAUCUACAUUUUUUUCUUGAAAAUCAUUGUGUUGAUUAUCUUUCCACUUGUGGUGAGAGAGACAGAUAACCCUAUUGCCAAGGACCCGAGAGAACGGUAGUUUACCUACAGAAAUUGUACUCUACAUUACUAAACAACUUUUAAAUAAUUGUGUAAUCUAAAUCUGGGCAUUUCAUCAGAAGAUUAACUGUAGCUUAAUUUCACAACUUGUAGCUUUGCCAAAUUUAAACAAGGUAAAUUCCAUACCUAAAUUGAGAUUACUUCUUUCUCUUUGUAUCACAAUACCUCACCUAAUAAAUAAAUAAGCAACACGAAAGCCACACCAAUAAAUGGGCCUCCUCUGAUUCCAAUCAACUCCAAUAUUCUGUUUCUCACAAGUAAUUAACAUUAGUAAGAUUAAUUUACCCACUAAAAGUGAUGAUCUGACAAGUGAAAGAGUUGGCCUUUAGAAAAAGUAAGUUGCUUUCUAUUUCUCCUCAAUAUUCUAAACUCAGUAACUAUUUCUCUCAUAACUGCAUCAUUACUCAUAGAGCAAUAAAAGACAGGGAGAGUUAACAGUUAACCAUAUCAUGUGUCUUCAGUUAUGUAAUGUUGACUUGGGAAAGUUGUGUAAGAUUUGUAUAAACUCAGCUCUUAUUGGCUGCUAAGGUAUUAGAAAAUAGUAUCGCUUUAUGACCAGUGAAAACAUAACAUGACAAUUUAAAAGUAUUCAUUUAGUUUAUGAUGCUGUAUUUCAAAUAUACAUUUAAAUAAUAAAGGGAAAGACAAUUAAA